CCGUCCCAGGAGAUGAGGUUCUUAUUCCGGUUAACUAGGCUCACCUUCCAUAAACCAGACAUUCCAAUAGUAAGAAAUCUACGUGUAUAUAUGAAUUUUGAAGUCUAGAAACAUAAUCCCAUACAGGUAUUUAGUCUGGGCUAACAUAUUCAGCAGUCAGCACUACUAUAAUCAGGUACAUUGCCAUAGUCAGCAUGCCCACCUCCGAGCAGAACGAUAGCUUGACAUGGACAAACACGACCAAAUUCAUUUAGUU